GAUGAAGAACGUAGCGAAAUGCGAUAAGUAAUGUGAAUUGCAGAAUUCCGUGAAUCAUCGAAUCUUUGAACGCACAUUGCGCCCCCUGGUAUUCCGGGGGGCAUGCCUGUCCGAGCGUCAUUGCAACCCUCAAGCGCGGCUUGUGUGUUGGGCCCUCGUCCCCCGUGGACGUGCCCGAAAUGCAGUGGCGGCGUCGUGUUCCGGUGCCCGAGCGUAUGGGGCUUUGUCACCCGCUCUUGAGGCCCGGUCGGCUCCGGCCCAUCAACCAUCGAGGACCCGUUCCUCAACCAGGUUGACCUCGGAUCAGGUAGGGAUACCCGCUGAACUUAAGCAUAUCAAUAAGCGGAGGA
rnacentral:misc_RNA from 1 species